AUUGAACGCUGGCGGCAUGCCUUACACAUGCAAGUCGAACGGUAACAGGUCUUCGGAUGCUGACGAGUGGCGAACGGGUGAGUAAUACAUCGGAACGUGCCCGAGAGUGGGGGAUAACAAGGCGAAAGCUUUGCUAAUACCGCAUACGAUCUCAGGAUGAAAGCAGGGGACCGCAAGGCCUUGCGCUCACGGAGCGGCCGAUGGCAGAUUAGGUAGUUGGUGGGAUAAAAGCUUACCAAGCCGACGAUCUGUAGCUGGUCUGAGAGGACGACCAGCCACACUGGGACUGAGACACGGCCCAGACUCCUACGGGAGGCAGCAGUGGGGAAUUUUGGACAAUGGGCGCAAGCCUGAUCCAGCCAUGCCGCGUGCAGGAUGAAGGCCUUCGGGUUGUAAACUGCUUUUGUACGGAACGAAAAGACUCCUUCUAAUAAAGGGGGUCCAUGACGGUACCGUAAGAAUAAGCACCGGCUAACUACAUGCCAGCCGCCGCCGUAACAC
rnacentral:rRNA from 1 species